CCUAACAAGUCCGGAAUCUUGGAGUGAGAUAAAUAUAGGCAUGUGUGACUUAACUGCUUUAUUCUUCAUCGGUUACUGUAAUGUGUGUGUGGGGAGGGAACUCCAGCAAUACUGUCAGUCACUUUAAUCUAUGAAUUCCUGUGUAUUCUUCAUACCAAAACAGCAGAUUUCCUCUGUACAUUUAUGUAACUGUAUGAACUAUCCAGAUUUUAGUAAACCUAAUAUGUCAGUAUAAAGGCAGUUAUUACUCUAAAACAUUAAGACAGCUGUAAGAGGAUGUGCUUCAACAUAUUCUUAGAGUAUAUCUAAAAAAAGCUUUUAGAUAUAGGUAUUAAUUUAAUUAUACUUGUAAAAUGUAGGAAUAGAACUAAGAAUGAUGUGAUACCAAGUCCUGCCUUUGGUCAACAAAAUAGUGUCUGCAGUCAGAUUAUGGCUCUUGCAUCAUAACAGAUUUCUUUGGAUUUUAUUAGAAAAAUUCCCACAACUGCAAUGUGUGCUUAUGCAUAGUUUCAAUUAGAACAAUACCUGGGCCUUUUUUAUGUAUUAGGAAACCACAAUCCUCAUGAACAGCUGCUGACAGUUUGGGGGAGCUCAGCUGAGAAGAUAGAGAGGGCAUGAUCAGACAGCUGCAGCAGGAGCUUGCUGAUGCUCUCAAAAAGCAAUCUGUGUCAGAAGCUUCACUGGAAGUUACUACGCGCUACCGCAGUGACCUGGAGGAAGACAAGCUGUGCUUGCAAAAGGAAUUGGAAAAGGCUAAAACCAAGUUGCGGGAGGUGGAAGAGAAAUAUCUUCAGUCCGAGUGUUGUGUUCGUGAUUUGAAGACUGCAUUGGAUGAUAAGGAAAGAGAAGCAACAGCUUCUGCCCAGAAGCUGCAAGACCAGCUGUUGGCAUCUUCUAAGACUAACACUACUAUAAAACAACUGGAAGAACAUGUGCAACAGUAAGAGAACACAGUGGGGCGAGUUAUCUGUCACUUGCAGGGAUUGGCUGGAAACCACAGCAUAGACAGGUAGUCUUGUUUCAUCACAGCAAAUAAUAAAGAUUUUGAAGAAUGUUCUUGUAUUUUAUUAUUUUGCACUCUUCUUUUGGAAUUUUUCUCUGGCAGAUUUUUGUAAUAAGACCUGUAUUUCUUUUAAAGCCUUGAAAUUGAAAACACCAAAUUGGAAGCCACUGUCCAGCAACAAAGCAACAGGAUUGAAGCCCUGCAGGGGGACCUGCAAGCCUCUGCGCCAGUAAGCUGCUCAUAAAUUUCCCUUUUGGUGACUUCUGAGCCUAGUACCUAUUUCUGUGGGGAAAUGUUAUGGUGAGGAUUUCCUGGAGAGCCAAGGGGAGCUCACUUCCUGCAUUUUUCUGAAUGGAGCCUGCUCUACUUCCCAGCCAUCCAGUUUUGAAAAUUUUCCUGUGCUGUAGCAAAUACUCUAAAAGGUUCAUAACCGCCUGGAAGACUUGAUAAUGAACUUAUAGACAGCACAGGCAGCUGCAGAAGACCACCACAAGCAGGUGCAAAAGCAGAAUAUGCUGACUCUGACAUCAAAGGACUUGCAAAGCAUGUGGGAAGCGCAGUUUAAUUCAAGAUCCAACCUCAAAGAGCGUGUUGCUCAACUUGACAGGGAAAAGGCAGAUCUCAUUGAAGAGGUUGCUGAACUUUCCCAGCAGCUGAACAUGGAGUCUAAAAAAAUCAUGCAGCUAGAAGCACAAAACCGGGAUCUGCGAGAAGAGCUGUCUACCUUGCAUGGGAACUGUGAAAAACCAGAGAAGAGCAAAUGCCAGCUGAAAAAAGAGAUGGCAAAACUUCAGCAUCACUUGGAGACUAACAUGGUGGAUCACAGCCAAAUAGAACAGUAUAAAAGAGAGGCUGAUGAAUGAGCAAGCCAAGAAAUAUGACAAAAACUGCAAGAAGUCAAUCUGUU